rnacentral:tRNA from 1 species
UAUUAGCUCAGGUGGUUAGAGCGCACCCCUGAUAAGGGUGAGGUCCCUGGUUCGAGUCCAGGAUGGCCCACCUGAAGCAAGUCAAAAGUUAAAAGACAAAAGUCAAAAGUAGUUAUUUACUUUUGAAUUUUGGAUUUUGAAUUUUGAAUUGUAUUUGGGGGUUUAGCUCAGUUGGUAGAGCGCCUGCUUUGCAAGCAGGAUGUCAGCGGUUUGAGUCCGCUAACCUCCACCUAGAAAGUAGAACAACCAAAGAAAAAGGAAAAAGAAACAGCACCUAAGUAGUUGUUAGACUGCUGGGUCUUGUUCCAGCCAGAACCUUGAAAACUGCAUAGAAACGCGAUAAAUAGCAGGCAGACACAGACAAAAAAGUGCUGAGUACUGAGUGCUGAGUGCUGAGUAAAAUCAGUAGCAAAGACAAAGUAAUCAGAACACAAAGAGAAGUGUUUGCAUGGAGAAGCCAAAUGUAAUGUGUCAAGGAAAAAAGU